ACGUCAAGUCAUCAUGGCCCUUACGGCCAGGGCGUACACACGUGCUACAAUGGUCGGUACAAAGGGUUAGGCCAAGCCGCGAGGUGGAGCUAAUCCCAUAAAACCGAAUCGUAGUCCGGAUCGCAGUCUGCAACUCGACUGCGUGAAAGUCGGAAUCGCUAGUAAUCGUGAAUCAGAAUGUCACGGUGAAUACGUUCCCGGGCCUU
rnacentral:rRNA from 1 species